UGGAUUAUUCCUUUCUCUGCCUCUGGUACCUGGCACAUACUAAGUACUCAACAAAUGUUAGAGUAGAUGUUUCUAGAAAGGAUAAACCAGAUGCUUAACAUAUUUAAUUCCAAGGGGUAAUUUUAGAAAUUAUUGUAAUCAAUGAGCUAAUAAUAUGUUUUCAUGUCCCUAAAGGAACUUGAAGUCUAAAUGGGCAGACAAGACCAACAUACACAAAGCAGAGAGUGGCACAAGAGCCAUGUCUGAUGCAACAGUGACUCAGGAGGAUCACUCUGACUCAGAAUGGCCAAGCAAAGGUAUUGGGAGGAAGUGGGAUAGAACUGAGCUUUGAAGACCGUGCUAAAAUAUUUACAGACUCCCCAGGUUAUCUCAAGUUCUCUCCAGGAAUUAGCUUCACCUCUUUGUGCUUUGGCUCCACAUCAGUUAAAUAGUGGUAACGUUUGAUCGUUAAGAACCAUGUAGAGAUGAAACAAUUUUCAAAGUUUUUUAAUUAAGUGUACUCAUUGCCACUCAAAGACAAAUACCAUAUAAAUAUAAUAAUAAUCAUAUUGAGAAACAAAAUAGCAAUGAUGCAGAUACUCAUGUACUGUUUCAUGUUUGUGGUCUUUGAGGGGAGUUUUUACUCAAAUAUCCCUAGAUGAAUAAAUACAUAUGGUCUAUAAAUAUGUCCCAAAGCAAUUUUCUCCACUUGAACCUACAUAUACUUCACUAUAGAACUGAAAACAAAUUUAUUUAAAACUUCUUUUAUGUGGUUGUCUGUUGAAAAAAAAAUCAGAACUCUCAUUAAAGCCAAUAAGAAUUUGGUAUAAAAAAUUAAUAGCAGGAUAUGAGCUUAUAGAAUCUUAUCAAUAAUAUCUUUAUGAUUCAUUGGUCUCUUUGUGAUGUGCCAAACAUAACCAGGAUUUAUUGAUGAAUAUGAUAUUUGGGGGUAUAAAAACUUUAUAUAUGUUUUUCUUUACUCAAUUAGUGAAUCUUGUCUAAAUUAAUAUUGUCAUGAGAUUUCAUUUAGCAAUGGCCAGGUAUCAUGGCCAAAUAGAUACUUUGACUUGAAUUAUCUGCCUAAAUGUUCUAAUUCUCCACUUUACUUCACGAAACUGAGGAAAUUCAGCUGUAAUAAAAAUCUUAAAUUUGAAAAAAAAA
rnacentral:lncRNA from 10 species